GGAUGUGGGGUUGCUUAGACAACCAGGAUGUUGGCUUAGAAGCAGCCACCAUUGAAAGAGUGCGUAAUAGCUCACUGGUCGAGUGACCCCGCGCCGAAAAUGUACCGGGGCUAAACAUAUUACCGAAACUGUGGAUGAACCUCUUUAGAGGUUCGUGGUAGGAGAGCGUUCUAAGGGCGGUGAAGUCAGACCGGAAGGACUGGUGGAGCGCUUAGAAGUGAGAAUGCCGGUAUGAGUAGCGAAAGAAGGGUGAGAAUCCCUUCCACCGAAUAUCUAAGGUUUCCUGAGGAAGGCUCGUCCGCUCAGGGUUAGUCGGGACCUAAGCCGAGGCCGAUAGGCGUAGGCGAUGGACAACAGGUAGAGAUUCCUGUACCAGUGCUAAUUGUUUAACCGAUGGGGUGACACAGAAGGAUAGGGAAUCGCACGAAUGGAAAUGUGCGUCCAA
rnacentral:rRNA from 1 species